GGUUACCGCCCCUUAGUGCUGCAGCUAACGCAUAAAGAACUCCGCCUGGGGAGUACGACCGCAAGGUUGAAACUCAAAGGAAUUGACGGGGACCCGCUCAAUCGGUGGAGCAUGUGGUUUAAUUCGAAGCAACGCGAAGAACCUUACCAAAUCUUGACAUCCUUUGACAACUCUAGAGAUAGAGCUUUCCCCUUCGGGGGACUAAGUGACAGGUGGUGCAUGGUUGUCGUCAGCUCGUGUCGUGAGAUGUUGUGUUAAGUCCCGCAACGAGCGCAACCCUUAAGCUUAGUUGCCAUCAUUAAGUUGGGCACUCUAAGUUGACUGCAGGUGACAAACCGGAGGAAGGUGGGGAUGACGUCAAAUCAUCAUGCCCCUUA
rnacentral:rRNA from 1 species